rnacentral:rRNA from 1 species
UACGUAGGGGGCUAGCGUUGUCCGGAUUUAUUGGGCGUAAAGAGCGUGUAGGCGGCUAUACAGGUCCGCUGUGAAAACUCGAGGCUCAACCUCGAGACGUCGGUGGAAACCGUAUGGCUAGAGUCCGGAAGAGGAGAGUGGAAUUCCUGGUGUAGCGGUGAAAUGCGCAGAUAUCGGGAGGAACACCAAUGGCGAAGGCAGCUCGCUGGGACGUUACUGACGCUGAGACGCGAAAGCGUGGGGAGCAAACAGG